UACGUAGGGUGCAAGCGUUGUCCGGAAUUAUUGGGCGUAAAGAGCUCGUAGGCGGUUUGUUGCGUCGGCUGUGAAAUCCCGAGGCUCAACCUCGGGUCUGCAGUCGAUACGAGCAAACUAGAGUGUUGCAGGGGAGACUGGAAUUCCUGGUGUAGCGGUGAAAUGCGCAGAUAUCAGGAGGAACACCGGUGGCGAAGGCAGGUCUCUGGGCCGAUACUGACGCUGAGGAGCGAAAGCGUGGGGAGCGAACAGG
rnacentral:rRNA from 1 species